AUGCUCACUUUCGUAGCACAUAUACUAGACCUAGAAUGAUAUGGAGAAGAUUAGCAUGACGCCUGUGCAAGAAUGACACACAAAUUGGUGAAGUAUUUCAUAUGUUU
rnacentral:snRNA from 1 species